rnacentral:rRNA from 1 species
GACGAACGCUGGCGGCGUGCUUAACACAUGCAAGUCGAGCGAUGAACCUUUCAUGAAUUUUUCGGAAUGAUCAGAAGAGGAUUAGCGGCGGACGGGUGAGUAACGCGUGAGCAACCUGCCUUAAACAACGGGAAAGCCUCGGGAAACCGGGAUUAAUACCGUAUGAGACCCCGCCUUCACAUGAAGAAGAGGUUAAAGAUUUAUCGGUUUAAGAUGGGCUCGCGUCUGAUUAGCUAGUUGGUGAGAUAAAAGCCCACCAAGGCAACGAUCAGUAACCGGCUUGAGAGAGUGAACGGUCACAUUGGAACUGAGACACGGUCCAAACUCCUACGGGAGGCAGCAGUGGGGAAUAUUGCACAAUGGGGGAAACCCUGAUGCAGCGACGCCGCGUGAGCGAUGAAGGAAUUCGUUUCGUAAAGCUCUGUCCAAGGGGAAGAUAAUGACAGUACCCUUGGAGGAAGCCCCGGCUAAAUACGUGCCAGCCGCCGCCGUAA